UACGGGGGGGGCAAGCGUUGUUCGGAAUUACUGGGCGUAAAGGGCUCGUAGGCGGCCAACUAAGUCAGACGUGAAAUCCCUCGGCUUAACCGGGGAACUGCGUCUGAUACUGGAUGGCUUGAGUUUGGGAGAGGGAUGCGGAAUUCCAGGUGUAGCGGUGAAAUGCGUAGAUAUCUGGAGGAACACCUGCGGUGUAGACGGCUUACUGGACCAUAACUGACGCUGAGGCACGAAAGCGUGGGGAGCGAUCCGG
rnacentral:rRNA from 1 species